rnacentral:rRNA from 1 species
UACGGGGGGGGGCUAGCGUUGUUCGGAAUUACUGGGCGUAAAGGGCGCGUAGGCGGUCUGCUAAGUUGGAUGUGAAAAACUCUGGGCUUACCCAGAGCCUGCAUUCAAUACUGACAGGCUAGAGUUCUGGAGGGGAUAGCGGAAUUCCUGGUGUAGCGGUGAAAUGCGUAGAUAUCAGGAGGAACACCGGUGGCGAAGGCGGCUAUCUGGACAGAGUCUGACGCUGAGGCGCGAAAGCUAGGGGAGCAAACAGG